rnacentral:lncRNA from 1 species
AGGAAAUAGUCUUUUUUAUUAUUUUAAGGGACUGCUGCUCUGUGGCCAAAGUAAUGUUCUGCUAAUUUUAGGGAGAUGGCUUUGGCUGUGAAUAGGAAGUCUUGGGUGGGAAACAGUGACUUGAACUUUUAAAAAUGUGUCCCUUAAUUUUUGUUCUUUAGAAAAGGAAAGGCAACACUAUUAAUGCAACUCGGCUGUCUUCAGAGGCCCCAAAAACCCUGCACCUGGAGAGUUUUUUGGCGGAAGGACCCACAUGGCGCCCCCAGCUACCGAUGAAGACGGUGGCCCCAGGACUCAGGUUCAGACAGAGAGCUCUCACCAUGUACGCUGGCUUUAGGGUGAAGCAGAGAAUCUCGGACAGGCCGAGCCUCAGGGACACUGCAUUCUCGUCUGCCACGUGCCUCAGACUGGACGCCUCGGAGUAUAGGCCCAGUAACGGAGUGAUCAAGAGCCCAAGCAGCCGAAGGCCUAACAAAUGCACCCCGUUCCUAGCAAGCGUGGAAGACUGCAUUAUUUCAUUUCACAGAGCCUGUGGCUGUCACCUCCAUCAACCAGCGAAGCCC